GUGCUUGCUUUGGCAGCACAUAUACUAAAAUUGGAAUGAUACAGAGAAGAUUAGCACAGCCCCUGCACAAGGAUGACACGCAAAUUCCUGAAGCGUUCCAUAUUUUU
rnacentral:snRNA from 1 species